CUCGCAGGAGAGAGAGUGGCUUAUAAUUGCCCUCCGCCGAAGGCGCAAACUCCCAUAAACGCUCAGGCCCCCAAGACUGCGA
rnacentral:ncRNA from 1 species